rnacentral:lncRNA from 1 species
GUGGGCACUUGCUAGACUGGUGUGAAGUAGGUUACAGCUCUGAUUUAUGCCUUCUAAGGAAGUAGCCGCAGUCAGCAUUCAACCCAUGUGGACUGGAGACAACCCUGCUGGAGUCAGCCCCUGCCAGCAGAUAGAGAGCAUCAGGAGGCCCACAGCACUUUCCAGUGAAACGAGGGCCUCUCACCCCAUAAGAAGCACAGUGGAGUCUCUGUAAUCCCAAAUCCAGCUCGGUGCCUGUUGAGUUGUGGAGACAUGAAGUUCCCAGCCCCA